rnacentral:rRNA from 1 species
GUGAGGAAUAUUGGUCAAUGGGCGAGAGCCUGAACCAGCCAAGUCGCGUGCAGGAAGAAUGUCCUAUGGAUUGUAAACUGCUUUUGCAGGGGAAUAAAGUUCAGCACGUGUGCUGUUUUGUAUGUACUCUGCGAAUAAGGAUCGGCUAACUCCGUGCCAGCAGCCGCGGUAAUACGGAGGAUCCGAGCGUUAUCCGGAUUUAUUGGGUUUAAAGGGUGCGUAGGCGGGUUAAUAAGUCAGUGGUGAAAGUUUGCAGCUUAAAUUUAUAAUUGCCGUUGAAACUGUUAAUCUUGAGGGUAGAUAAGGUAGGCGGAAUGUGUUUUGUAGCGGUGAAAUGCCUAGAUAUAACACAGAACCCCGAUUGCGAAGGCCGCUUACCGGGCUACCACUGACGCUGAUGCACGAAAGCGUGGGGAUCAAACAGGAUUAGAAACCCCAGUAGUCC